UAACGCGUGGGCAACCUGCCUUACACAGGGGGAUAACAGUUAGAAAUGACUGCUAAUACCGCAUAAGACCACGAAACUGCAUGGUUUUGUGGUAAAAACUCCGGUGGUGUAAGAUGGGCCCGCGUCUGAUUAGGUAGUUGGCGGGGUAACGGCCCACCAAGCCGACGAUCAGUAGCCGACCUGAGAGGGUGACCGGCCACAUUGGGACUGAGGCACGGCCCAGACUCCUACGGGAGGCAGCAGUGGGGAAUAUUGCACAAUGGGGGAAACCCUGAUGCAGCGACGCCGCGUGAGCGAUGAAGUAUUUCGGUAUGUAAAGCUCUAUCAGCAGGGAAGAAAAUGACGGUACCUGACUAAGAAGCCCCGGCUAACUACGUGCCAGCAGCCGCGGUAAUACGUAGGGGGCAAGCGUUAUCCGGAUUUACUGGGUGUAAAGGGAGCGUAGACGGCUUUGCAAGCCAGAUGUGAAAGCCCGGGGCUCAACCCCGGGACUGCAUUUGGAACUGUAUGGCUGGAGUGUCGGAGAGGCAGGCGGAAUUCCUAGUGUAGCGGUGAAAUGCGUAGAUAUUAGGAGGAACACCAGUGGCGAAGGCGGCCUGCUGGACGAUGACUGACGUUGAGGCUCGAAAGCGUGGGGAGCAAACAGGAUUAGAUACCCUGGUAGU
rnacentral:rRNA from 1 species